rnacentral:ncRNA from 2 species
CUCUUAUCCAGAGAGGCAGAGGGACUGGCCCGAUGAAGCCUCGGCAACCGGAAUAAAAUUCGGUGCCAAUUCCAGCAAAGCGCUUUGCUUUGAAAGAUAAGAG